AGAGUUUGAUCCUGGCUCAGAACGAACGCUGGCGGCGUGGAUAAGACAUGCAAGUCGAACGAAAUUUUAUUGGUAGUAAUACCGAUAAAAUUUAGUGGCGAACGGGUGCGUAACACGUGAGUAAUCUGCCGAGAAGUGGGGGAUAGCUCGCCGAAAGGCGAAUUAAUACCGCAUGUGACUAAUGAAGACAUCUUCAUAACGUCAAAGCCGCAAGGCGCUUCUUGAUGAGCUCGCGGCCUAUCAGCUAGUUGGUGAGGUAAUGGCUCACCAAGGCUAUGACGGGUAGCUGGUCUGAGAGGACGACCAGCCACACUGGAACUGAGACACGGUCCAGACACCUACGGGUGGCAGCAGUCGAGAAUUUUUCACAAUGGGGGAAACCCUGAUGGAGCGACGCCGCGUGGAGGAUGAAGGCCCUUGGGUCGUAAACUCCUGUCAUAAGGGAACAAGAAAGUGAUAGUACCUUAAGAGGAAGAGACGGCUAACUCUGUGCCAGCAGCCGCGGUAAUACAGAGGUCUCAAGCGUUGUUCGGAUUCAUUGGGCGUAAAGGGUGCGCAGGCUGUGUGGUAAGUCGGGUGUGAAAUUUAGGGGCUCAACCUCUAAACUGCACCUGAUACUGCCAUGCUAGAGGACUGUAGAGGAGAUUGGAAUUCACGGUGUAGCAGUGAAAUGCGUAGAUAUCGUGAGGAAGACCAGUGGCGAAGGCGAAUCUCUGGGCAGUUCCUGACGCUCAUGCACGAAGGCUAGGGGAGCAAACGGGAUUAGAUACCCCGGUAGUCCUAGCAGUAAACGUUGCACG
rnacentral:rRNA from 1 species